CAAAGAGCGCGUAUCUGUAUAAUGUACGGUAAAAGGGCUAUUUUGCAUUUUUUGCCGAUUCGCACACAUUGGAAUUUCGCUAACUCCUCCUAAGGCUUUCGUCCCACUGACACCAAAUUUGCUCAGGCCAAUCUACACUCCAUGGCCAUUCAAAGUUGUAAAAAUCAUGACGCUGCACCCCACGGUUUACGUUUUAGGGGGCGCCAAAGAUGACCCAAAUAUACAUUACAGUAGACAAAGUAGUUUUGCCCACUGAGUGGCGCCAAAGGGACUUGUCUGUGGAGUCUGUGAGUCACUAUUGGCCGUUUUUGACUACUUUAGAUUUUACCUUUAUAUUUCCUCUUACAAAAUUUUUACCUUGCCUUGCCUGGUAUCAUUUUUUUCAGCACAACCUCACCUGUGUCAAUUUACAGUUAUUUUACCAUUUUGACAUACUAUAUUUACACAUUGGACCCAAAUUCACACACAAAACAUAAAAUCCGAGUGGAAAAAAGUAACGUUUUUACUGUGAAAACCACAAAUAUGUGUGAUGAACUGUUUUUAAAACUUAAACUUCAAAUAAAAAUUGUAAACUUCAAAACAUAUGCAAAUUUUUAACAAAGAACAUAGUAAUUUACCUCUAUUGACAUCAAAAUGCAGGCAAUGGCCCAGGUGUUCUUUGUAAAAUUAUUUACAAAACACUGUAUAGUCUCACAAAUGUCACUUUUUAUUUAUGCCACUACAAAAAAACAUGAUGUAAAUGAUGCAUGAUGUAAAACAUGAUGUAAAAAACUUGUGUAGAUCCUCCUCUAUGUUAGUCCAUGUGUAAUUUUUCCAUAAUUCUUUGUUUUUUGCAGCAUUUUUGUUAGUGUAACUGCAGAUUGUGCUGACAGUGUCUAUGGCAAAAAAAAAAAAAAAAACUGAAAAUGCCUCAACAUGAACCCCUGGUGGUCUCUGAAGGUGAAACCUGCUAACUGCUGCAGCUCUGUCAGCUUCAGUCUCCCAUGCAGAGCUCGGAGCGCAUGUGUGGCUCUGCACCCUUAGCAGCGUUGCUAACUCCUCAGUAAGGAAAGCCUGCUUCAUGUCAGAGUCUCUAAACUCCAGAAGAAGUCGAUAAAAGUCACUUUCUUUCUAAAAAAAAGUCGUUAGGGGGUCUGAAAAGUCAUUGAAUCUAACAACAAAGUCGCUAGGUUUGCAACUACGUGUCCCAGACUGCAUCCCUGCUGAGAGUCCCUCCCUCCCUUCUCAUAUUGCAGGAAGAACGUAAGUUCCCGCCCCUUGUCAAUCAGUCACCAUAUAAUUUUGGAUUGGUUGUUGUGGUGAAGUUUUCCACCAAUAGGAGAGAUGUUGUGGUGUGUAUUUUUUUCCUUUGGCAAGCCUUUUCCGCCUGUAAGACCUGUCGCUAAUGUCUGCAUGCUAUGUUUUCCUGUCUCAUACAGCGCGAUCGAGCGCCGAACGUGAUCAAAAUAAGCAGAAAACAAGUAUCGCGGACAUAAUUUAUCAUAACUCUGGUUUUAUUUGGCCUAUCAACACAAUUUAAAAACUGGUAUAUAGGUUGAGGUCCUCACUUUUGAGAUAAAUUGAAACGGAGAGUCAACGAGGCUCCGUCUUGCAGCUACAUCCGGUUAAAUAUGUCAUGUGACUUGAACGCACACACACACACACACACAGACACACACACACGCACACACACACACUCAGAGUCUGGUUUGUAGCACCUGCAAAAACAUGCUAUUUACAUAUUUGACAAGAAUGCAGAGGCUCCUUUUGCCCCUGAAAAAAAUCAAAUUUCAAACACAACUUGACUGGUCAUUUCUCCAAAAGACAACCAUGAAGCUCCAUCCAAACCUGAAGCAGGCAGUUGGUGCAUGUGUACAGUAACCUGAGGGGAGUGAGGUGACUGCUUCUGAGGAGAACAUGAGCAGUGAAGAUUUACCUUAGAGCUAGAACAGAGACGUGCACAUGAUUAUACAGGGGCAGGGGCUCAAGUUUUUUCCAGUCGUUUAUACAAUUUGGAAAUUAAUGUGAAAUUAAAAAACAAAGUAUUAAUAGAAAGGUAAUGACUGUCCUGUGUAGGUGACAGUGAUAUCCAAUAGGCUAGGCACUCACGAGGCUGGCUGUGGCAAGUGUAAGUGAAAGCAACACGCACUGGCAGGAAGAACAGCAAACGCCGAUGAAGGAAAAGGGUCUUUGCAGUGAUGGGCGUUACCAAAGAGGGCGAUGGCCAGAGGACACAAAUGGGACGGGGAGGCAGCGCGUUGGGGGGGGGACGCGACACAGCUCGGGCCCGCCAGUGCCCCAACGGGGUCCUAGUUAGGGCCCGAGCGUAGCUGCUAAGCAGCUGCGAGAGCCCUCUUGUUCCUGUAGUUUCCUUCUUUUGUUAUUAUUAUUAUUAUUUUUCCUCCCCUUUGAACUGGAAAAUGGCCCACUUCCCACUGGCGAAAACUCAUGAAAUUUGGCAGGACGACCGGGCCUGGUGAAAAAUUUGAUAUUCCGAAGUCGCCCAAACAAGAAAAUGCAAAAUGGCUCCAUAGCGCCCCCUAAGGUGAAAAUUCACACUAUUCACUGUCACGCCUGUACGCUUUGUCAAAAUGACACAAAAAUUGACACACACAUGUAUCUCAAUAAGAUCUACAAAAAAGUCAGUGCGGGCAUAUCUGUCAAAUGUACGGUUAAAGGGUUAUUGCGCAUUUUUUGCCGAUCCGCACACAUUGGAAUUUCGCUAACUCCUCCGAAGGCUUUCGUUCCACCGGCACCACAUUUGCUCAGGCCAAUCUACACCCCAUGGCCAUUAAAAGUUAUUCAAAUCAUGACGCUGCACCCCACGGUUUAGGUUCUAGGGGGCGCCAAAGAUAACCCUAAAAUCCACAUAUUUCAAAGUCUUAUAACUUUUUAUUUUUGCCCUCACUGGCCUCCAAGUUUUCUAGGAUGAUGCAAUGUCCAGCCAUCAACACAUUUGUGAAGGAAUUUUUACUCCCCAAAAGAGCGCCCCCCCAUGGCAGGAGAAAAAAGUCCAUUUUUUCUUGUCCCAUAAGGUGAAAAUUCACACUAUUGACUGUCACGCCUGUACGCUUUGUCAAAAUUACACAAAAAUUGACACACACAUGUAUCUCAAUAAGAUCUACAAAAAAGUCAGUGCUGGCGUAUCUGUCAAAUGUACGGUUAAAGGGUUAUUGCGCAUUUUUUGCCGAUCCGCACACAUUGGAAUUUCGCUAACUCCUCCGAAGGCUUUCGUUCCACCGGCACCACAUUUGCUCAGGCCAAUCUACACCCCAUGGCCAUUAAAAGUUAUUCAAAUCAUGACGCUGCACCCCACGGUUUAGGUUCUAGGGGGCGCCAAAGAUAACCCUAAAAUCCACAUAUUUCAAAGUCUUAUAACUUUUUAUUUUUGUCCUCUCUGGCCUCCAAGUUUUCUAGGAUGAUGCAAUGUCCAGCCAUCAACACAUUUGUGAAGGAAUUUUUACUCCCCAAAAGAGCGCCCCCCCAUGGCAGGAGAAAAAAGUCAAUUUUUUCUUGUCCCAUAAGGUGAAAAUACACAUUGUUGACUGUCAUACCUGUAUGCUUUGUCAUAUUGACACAAAAUUUGACACACACAUGUAUCUCAAUAAGAUCUACGAAAAAGUCAAUGCGCGCGUAUCUGUAAAAUGUACGGUUAAAGGGCUAUUUUGCAUUUUUGCCGAUUAGCACACAUUGGAAUGUGGCUAACUCCUCCUAAGGCUUUCGUCCCACUGACACCAAAUUUGCUCAGGCCAAUCUACACCCCAUGGCCAUUCAAAGUUUUAAAAAUCAUGACGCUGCACCCCACGGUUUAGGUUCUAGGGGGCGCCAAAAAUGACCCAAAUAUCCACAUUCUUAAAAGAAUCCACAUCCCCCCCCCCCCCCCCCCAUCCCCCAUCC
rnacentral:lncRNA from 1 species